GACGAACGCUGGCGGCGCGCUUAACACAUGCAAGUCGAGCGAAGCGGCGGACGGGUGAGUAACACGUGAGUAACCUGCCUUAGACAUUGGGAUAGCCUCUGGAAACCGGGAUUAAUACCAAAUGGUCUAAGAUGGACUCGCGUCCCAUUAGCUAGUUGGUGGGUAACGGCCCCCCAAGGCGACGGUGGGUAGCCGGGCUGUGAGGGGGGACCGACACAAUGGAACGGAGAAACGGUCCAAACUCUACGGGAGGCAGGAGUGGGGAAUAUUGCACAAUGGAGGGAACGCUGAUGCAGCGACGCCGCGUGAACGAAGAAGGCUGUCGAGUCGUAAAGUUCUUUUAUAUGGGAAGCGGUACCAUAAGAAAAAGCCCCGGCUAACUACGUGCCAGCAGCCGCGGUAAUUC
rnacentral:rRNA from 1 species